GACGAACGCUGGCGGCGUGCUUAACACAUGCAAGUCGAACGGUGAAGCGCCUUCCUUUUUGGUGGGUGUGGAUGAGUGGCGAACGGGUGAGUAACACGUGAGUAACCUGCCCCCUUCUUCUGGAUAACCGCAUGAAAGUGUGGCUAAUACGGGAUAUUCUGGGUCUGUCGCAUGAUGGGUCUGGGAAGGUUUUGUUUUGGGUGGGGGUGGGGCUCGCGGCCUAUCAGCUUGUUGGUGGGGUGAUGGCCUCCCAAGGCGGUGACGGGUAGCCGGCCUGAGAGGGUGGACGGUCACACUGGGACUGAGACACGGCCCAGACUCCUACGGGAGGCAGCAGUGGGGAAUAUUGCACAAUGGGCGCAAGCCUGAUGCAGCGACGCCGCGUGAGGGAUGGAGGCCUUCGGGUUGUGAACCUCUUUCGCCAGUGAAGCAGGCCUGCCUCGUUUGUGGGUGGGUUGACGGUAGCUGGAUAAGAAGCGCCGGCUAACUACGUG
rnacentral:rRNA from 1 species